rnacentral:rRNA from 1 species
AUUGAACGCUGGCGGCAUGCCUUACACAUGCAAGUCGAACGGUAACGCGGGGCAACCUGGCGACGAGUGGCGAACGGGUGAGUAAUGUAUCGGAACGUGCCUGGUAGUGGGGGAUAACUGCUCGAAAGAGCAGCUAAUACCGCAUACGACCUCAGGGUGCAAGGGGGGUAUCGCAAGACCUCUCGCUAUCCGAGCUGCCGAUGUCGGAUUAGCUAGUUGGUGGGGUAAAGGCCCACCAAGGCAACGAUCCGUAGCUGGUCUGAGAGGACGACCAGCCACACUGGGACUGAGACACGGCCCAGAUUCCUACGGGAGGCAGCAGUGGGGAAUUUUGGACAAUGGACGCAAGUCUGAUCCAGCCAUGCCGCGUGCGGGAAGAAGGCCUUCGGGUUGUAAACCGCUUUUGUCAGGGAAGAAAUCUUCUGGGUUAAUACCUCGAGAGGAUGACGGUACCUGAAGAAUAAGCACCGGCUAACUACGUGCCAGCCGCCGCAGUAAUAC